AAUUAAAAUGAUGAUUUGAAAUAUCCUGUGGUAUUUCAAUAUGCAGUGGCAAAAAGUGGAAAAGGUGUGUUGAUGUGGAAAAUUCUUAAUUAACAUUUGAGUAAGUAUCUUCUGUCUACUUUCUUCUCAGAUCACUGUGCAAGACUUUAAUAUCCUCAUGUAUCCUCUGCACUAUAAAUCCUCAGUUCUACAUCAAGGAGUGUCAUGUAUGAUCAACAGUUUCUUAUUAUAAAUUGUGAUGGGUACUAUUGAGCUACUUACCAACAGGAUACUUGCCUCAGACUUGGAAUGAAUAUUAAUAAAACUGUUAGUCCUCUGUCAAUAAACAAGGCUCCAACUCAUUUCUGAUCUGUGAAGACAACAGUAGAUGAAGAACAAAACUGAAGGAUAUUUCUGCAGCGCUGAGAGGAAAUGGUUCAGAAAAUGCCAAGACUGUGAGGGCAGCCAAGGCAAAAGAGCAGGAACUCGGUUAGAGCUGUAUCAGCCAAGUGGGCCCACCAAACGAGACGCUGCUCCCUGGGAAUAUUCUUCCUGCACCCCCAUGUGGAGCUUGCUCUGCAGCAGCAGCCUUUCACCAUCCUUGUAACUGGUGUGCUAAUUGUGCCAUUUUGAACAGCUCUAAAAUAAAUCAGACUGUAGCCACAUUGAAAAAAAAAUAUACAAUAUGGCUGUGUCUGAAACCUCACUACAGUCUAAUUUCUUCAAAUGUUGCUGUCAUAUCUAUAUCACAAGAAACUGUUCUGCAGCAGCAGGGAUUGAUUCCACUUCUUCUCUUUUCUCAGGGAAUAACCUUUGAAAAACUUUCAAAAUGAUGGUAAUUCACAAAGGCCAGACAAAACAAUUUUUUAAUAAAAACAUUUGCCCCAAAAAGGAACAGGCUGUUUAAAGAGCUUAGACCUCCAAAUCGUCACCCUGUGUGCUCUCUGUAAUUUAAUACUGGGGAUCUUGGCUGACUUCAUUAAGAGGAUGACAGUGAAAUUGAGAUAAAUUAUCCUGUGGUGAGGGAGGGACUGAUACAGAGAAAAUUACAACCAGCAGGAAAAAUAGGUUAUACAAUCACACAGGUAACUUACUUCCACUUUAGUGUUAGAAUGAAUUUCAUUAACAAAAUAUGUAUUUUGCAUUGGAGACCAUGCCAUUGUGAAAUCAAGCACAUGAUUCACACAAAUGCACCCACAAGAUGCUGGACCAUUCUUAUGUU